rnacentral:lncRNA from 1 species
UACUGCCCUAUAGCAUGGUGUAUUUUUAUUAAGUUUUGUUAACUAAAAGUUCUAUGUUUUAUAUAUAGGCUAAAGUGAGUUUGACGUUGUAUUUUGUUGUUGCAUUCAAGCAAUUGACGCCGAACUGCCGCUAAUUAUCGGUGUUGUCACACAUUGAUUAACCGGUGGAAAAACUUCCUCACCGUCACAAGUUCACAACCCUACUAUAGAGCACAAUAGUCUGAUUCUGGAAAUAAAAUUUAAUUUAUUUAUUUAUCAUUUAUGCCAUGAGAUUCGAAGUUUUGAAACAAAAUCAAUUUUUAAAAAAAAGACUCUAAAAUCCCAGUGAAGAACUACACUACACUACUGAAGCAGGCUGUUACUUGCAUCCACCAAUCAGAGAAAUCGCUGUUUCUAUAGAAACGAGAACCACACCAAAACAACUCAUCAGUGAGUGCUCACUCUACUUUACUAUUUAUGCUACCUUUUCAUUCUCGUCCUUUCCCUUCCCUUAUCUCGCUCCCCUUCCCAUUCUUUUCUGUUUUUUUUUUUUUAGGUGACAGAUAACAGCUACCUUGAGUUUUUAAACAGUUGGCAUGAGGAGAAUAAGCCAAGAGUGCUAAUGUUUGAUAUAGCAUCUAAUAUCCCUCUUUUGUAUAAGCUCACCGCAUUUGCCUAUAAGGACUAUGUAAGGUUUGGCUAUGUGGACAUGGGCCUGACUGAGACCUCCAAAGUCGUGCAGAGGUUCAACAUCAAAUCCUUAAAUACACUGGUUGGCACUAGUGACAAGAAAACACAAGGAUUCUUUCAAAACCAUAUGCAAAAAGUGCAUAUUUAUAGUAGACUGCCCUAUAGAGUAGGCUUGCUGUGAUAGACGGUGCUGACGGUGAUACUGCUGUUAAGCAACAACACUGACUACGUCACUUGCCCACCGCGGCACUGACCCUCACCGCCGUUUAGAUUUUUUUAUAGUAAUAAAAAUCAUUUAGUUCAGUAAAAGAACAGACACUAUUAAAAACUGAACGCGGCUGCUCAAUGCAGUGUGCCGAACGACAGUCGCAUCACAGAUGAGAUUUCAUUUAUCCAGUGAGGAGAGUGA